GAGUGUUAUAGCUCUUUUAGACCUUGUCUAGCAGUUUUUCCAGUUUUUACCAGAAUCUCU
ensembl:snRNA U7 U7 small nuclear RNA